CAUUGUCAUUCUUGGUUCCAGGAAACCAGAAACAAAGAGACUUCCUGUGUUCGCACGAAUGAAAACUUGAUAGCCUUGGAAGACUGGAUGGUGUUCACGUGGUCUCAUCCAUUCGGGGACUUCCCUGGUGGUGGAUAGUGCACCGCCAACAGUGUGGUGAUUUGACAUUUUUACGGCACAGGUCUUAUAUCUUUUGCUGUCCCUGUUAAAAACCUGCCCGAUUUAUUUAUAGUGGGUUCUAAUAAUACACUUCUAUUAGUAUUAUGGGAUAGUCACUCACAUGCAGAACAUCCUGGAAUUAGAUUAUUGUUCGACGCAGAAGAAGAUAUCGCAGACAGCAGAAUUACUUAUGGAACUGUCGACCCUACGGGCAAAUUAUGGUUUGCGAUAAGGCACAAUCAUGCACAUAAUUUGGGAAAGGUGUUUUCUUACACUCGGAAGACUCGUGUGAUAUUUAAACAAAGAAUGGUUCAUGAAUAUGAUUUGUGCAAUGGAAUUCAGUG